rnacentral:tRNA from 1 species
GUCUCAGUGGCGUAGUGGUUACCGCAAGAGGCCCGGUCACGCGCAAGACGCGGGUUCGAUCCCCGCCUGAGAGG